rnacentral:rRNA from 1 species
UACGUAGGGGGCGAGCGUUGCCCGGAUUUAUUGGGCGUAAAGGGCGCGUAGGCGGCCACGUGCGUCAUGGGUGAAAUCUCCCGGCUCAACUGGGAGGGGUCCGGUGAUACGACGUGGCUGGAGUGAGGUAGGGGGCAGUGGAAUUCCCGGUGUAGUGGUGGAAUGCGUAGAGAUCGGGAGGAACACCCGUGGCGAAGGCGGCUGCCUGGACCUCGACUGACGCUGAGGCGCGAAAGCGUGGGGAGCGAUCCGG